rnacentral:rRNA from 1 species
UACGGAAGGCAGCAGUGGGGAAUAUUGCACAAUGGGCGCAAGCCUGAUGCAGCCAUGCCGCGUGUAUGAAAAAGGCCUUCGGGUUGUAAAGUACUUUCAGUCGUGAGGAAGGUGUUAAGGUUAAUAACCUUAGCAAUUGACGUUAGCGACAGAAGAAGCACCGGCUAACUCCGUGCCAGCAGCCGCGGUAAUACGGAGGGUGCGAGCGUUAAUCGGAAUUACUGGGCGUAAAGGGCACGCAGGCGGUUAAUUAAGUUGGAUGUGAAAUCCCCGGGCUUAACCUGGGAAUGGCAUUCAAGACUGGUUAGCUAGAGUCUUGUAGAGGGGGGUGAAAUUCCGAUGUGUAGCGGUGAAAUGCGUAGAGAUGUGGGGGAAUACCGGUGGCGAAGGGCGGCCCCUGGGACAAAGGACUGACGCUCAUGUGCGAAAGCGUGGGGAGCAAACAGGGAUUAGAUACC